rnacentral:lncRNA from 1 species
AUCAGAGUUUUCACUGUAGGUGAGAAAUCUGGCCCAGAGUUGACCACCCAGAGCCACAAGGACCAAUGAAAAGCGACCACCCAGAUACUGAUUUUCCACCAGGCUCAAAUCGGAGUUCCGGUAGUAGACUUGCGUUGUCUUGAGACUGUUGAAUGCAGAUCAUCCAUGUAUGCAUUGCAACACGCAAGUACGAAUUCCUGUAUCUUCCGGCUUCCACAGAAAUCUUUUUGUAUAUCGAGUUCUAAGUGCAAUUGGUAAGUCAGAAGACUACACAGAACUUAAUCUAUUGUGGAUAUUUUGGCAGAAUUAGCUUAUUUAGAGAGCUGUGCAUAUAUAGCUCAGGUGGGUAAUACAGAACAUACAGAAUGCUAGAUAGUGGGGAGGAAGCAAUCUUUCCUACCCAGCUUUUUGCCAUGUAUUAGGUACAUGUAGAUUUUCUCUUAGAUAAUAUGAGAAAUAGAAUGUGAAAGUAGUUGUAUGCAGCUCUUGGCAAUCUGUAGCACCGUUUCUGGUAAAAUUUUGUAGCAGUUAUAGACUUCUAGCCAUUGUAAUGCUCUGUUCACUUUCUCAGUGUGGCAUGAGUGGAAGAUCUUUUUCUUGCUAAGAAAUGCAGUCAGUUCACAUCAGGACCACUGAUUCUUUGCUGACUCUUCACUGGACUCAAACUCUUUUACUUUGUGACUAACAAAUGUGUCAAUGUUUAUAUAACAACGUAGGAGUGUUCAUCAGGAAAACUACCCUGCUUCAGAAGUCCUGCUUUUCCUUUGCCUUAGCAGGUCUAAGAUACAAGUCAGACGGGUAGGAUGUAUUAAAUGGCUGUUUUGUAGGUGGCUUUGGCAAAGUGAGUUUAAGCAUUUCUAUAGGAGUAUCGUGGUAUUUACACCAUAUGCUUGUUGACAUCUCUGAAUGUUUCUUCCCCCCAGAUUUAUUUUCUGUUUCCAUGGUAGUCUAGGGAUUGUGAUUGUUCUGGUGAUCAUUGCUCCUGGAGUGAUGUUGACUCUGCAGGAGGACAUCCAAGAACUCUGCAGAUGGUGGUCUAGAGUGUGUCAUAUGAAUGAGUAUUCAGAUAACCUACAUCAUGGAUUUCUGGUCAACCACUGGAAUCUAUGGACUACCUCAUGCUAUCCUGUAGCCUACAUAUAUUGCCUGUCCUUCGGAAGAAGUAUGUGACAGAUCUUUUUGGGGAGCUCUACACAAAUGUAAAUAAUAGUGGAGGCAUUUUCCAUUUCUGUGACUCUACAAGCAGAUACUUUAGCGCCAACUGUAAAGAAAAAUGGCUCUGAACAUCUAGAAAGCCUCUAAAAAACCUACAACUUGUUCUGUGUUGUAUUUCUGAGUUCUGGGAGAAUGGAAUCAUCUUUUCAAAAUUUGUAGUCUUGCAGAGCCAUGCUGUAACAGAAACGAACUUUUUUGCAUAUUGAAUGUCCAUUGCUGCAUCAGGACUGAAUAAUGCCUCUUCUUGUCGCCCCUAAACAAACGAUUUCUUUUUGAAAUUUUGUAAGAAGAACUUCUAAGCAAGAAGUGGGAAAUACUUCUUUUAUAUUUGAUUUUUUUUUUUAAAAAGUGACAGCUAUGUUAAGCUUCUCAGAGCUUUGAAAAAGCUGGAACUAGAACACGUGAACAGUCACACAUAUAACAUUAUUUCUGCUGUCUACACAAGGAUUUGCCUCUAAAUCACGUUUAUAAGAAGGAAAAAGCAGGAUAUUGAAAUAUAGAUGCAUAAAAAUUAACAAUACACAUUUUCAAAACUUGUGUAUAUUUUUUAUAUACGGAUUCACAGACCUGAAACUUUACAAAAUCCCACCAGCUGAAUAACACUAAGAAUUACAACCCACAUGCCUGCAGUACAGUGAAAUUUCAUGUGUCCAGGACUGCAUUCGUAUAUUAAAUAUUUAAAUGUACAUACAUAUAUAUGCUACGUUGUUGUUUAUUUUUCUCCGGCUAAACUGCACCAAAGACUUUAAAGAAAUCAAGCUAUAGAGUUGCAGAGAACAAAUUCUGCCUACAUCAAUGCGCUAUUUAGCACUGAUGUGCUGCAGAAGGCACAAGAGAAUAUUCUUCCUGCAUCUCCUGAGAAAGCAUCCAUUUGCUAAGUCAUCUCUAAAUGAAGCUUCAGAAUUUAUGAACUUUUAUUAAAGCUGUCUCUGCUUAAUACUGCUUCCACAAUCUG